GAAAGUAAUGAAGGGCGUACGGUGGAUGCCUAGGCUCUUACAGGCGAUGAAGGACGUGAUAAGCUGCGAAAAGCCGCGGUGAGGCGCAAAUGGCCCUUGACCCGCGGAUCUCCGAAUGGGACAACCCAAUAUCUUGAAGAGAUAUUAUCCCGCCGAUGCGGGAGGCGAACGCGGGGAACUGAAACAUCUUAGUACCCGCAGGAAAAGAAAAUAAAGAAUGAUUCCCCCAGUAGUGGCGAGCGACCGGGGAAGAGCCCAAACCGACGUUGUCUCGGCAUCGUCGGGGUUGUAGGACCGCGCCAUCGCAAGAAAGGCCGUGAGUGGAAGCGACUGGAAAGCCGCGCCAUAGAGGGUGAGAGCCCCUUACACGAAGCAGCCUGAAGCGUAGCGGACUCCUGAGUAGCGCGGGACACGAGUAAUCCUGUGUGAAUCCGCCGGGCCCAUCCGGCAAGGCUAAAUACUCGUAAGAGACCGAUAGUGAACCAGUACCGUGAGGGAAAGGUGAAAAGUACCCCUUGCAGGGGAGUGAAAUAGUUCCUGAAACCGUACGCCUACAAGCGGUCGGAGCAUCGAAAUUGAUGUGACGGCGUGCCUUUUGCAUAAUGAACCUACGAGUUGCCGUCACCAGCGAGGUUAAGUGCGAUGACGCACCGAGCCGCAGCGGAAGCGAGUCUUAAAAGGGCGCUAUAGUUGGUGGAGGCAGACGCGAAACCGAGUGAUCUACACUUGUCCAGGAUGAAGUCCCGGUAACACGGGAUGGAGGUCCGCACCAAUAAGCGUUGAAAAGCUUCUGGAUGAGGUGAGUGUAGGAGUGAAAGGCCAAUCAAACUCGGAGAUAGCUCGUACUCCCCGAAAGGCAUUUAGGUGCCGCCUGUGGCGUUCCCGACGUGAGGUAGAGCGACUGAUAGGAUGCGAGGGCUUCACCGCCUAUCAAGUCCUGACAAACUCCGAAUGCACGUCGGCCAAGCCAUGGAGUAAGGGCAUGGGUGCUAAGGUCCGUGCCCGAGAGGAGAAGAAUCCAGACCACCGGCUAAGGUCCCGAAAUACUGGUUAAGUUAGACUAACGCAGUCCGGCCCCCAAGACAGCUAGGAUGUUGGCUUGGAAGCAGCCAUUCAUUCAAAGAGUGCGUAACAGCUCACUAGUCGAGGAGCUGGGCGUGGAUAAUAAUCGGGUAUCAAACCAGUUACCGAAGCCGUGGGAUGCUUAAGCAUCGGUAGGGGAGCAUUGCAUGCGGCUUAGAAGGCGGGGCGCGAGCCCCUCUGGAGCGCAUGGAAACGCAAAUGUAGGUAUAAGUAACGACAAGGGGGGUGGGAUGCCCCCCCGCCGAAAGACCAAGGUUUCCUGAACAACGCUAAUCGGUUCAGGGUCAGUCGGGUCCUAAGCAUAAGCCGUAUGGCGAAGGCGAUGGACGAAACGGUUAAUAUUCCGUUACUGUCUUGGUGUGUGACGCGGCGACGGAGUAGUGACACGGCCGCCUCCUGACGGAAAAGGGGGUUGAAGCGCAAAGGUGUUGAGGAAGGCAGGCAAAUCCACCUUCCGAGCCGAAGCGCGAUAGUACGCCGCGCCCUUUUGGGCAAGGCGAUAGUGCCGGUAAUCAGACUUCCAAGAAAACCCGCUAAACUUCAGCACCAAGUCACCCGUACUCCAAACGGACACACGUGGUCGGGUAGAAUAUACUAAGGCGCUUGGGAGAUUCACGGUUAAGGAACUAGGCAAAUUGACCCCGUACCUUCGGAAUAAGGGGUCCUCGCUUUUGCGAGGCGCAGAGAAUAGGUCCAGGCAACUGUUUAACAAAAACACAGGGCUGUGCAAAUUUGAAAGAAGAAGUAUACAGCCUGACACCUGCCCGGUGCCGGAAGGUUAAGAGGAGAGCUCAUCAGCGAUGAGAAGGUUUGAAUUGAAGCCCCGGUAAACGGCGGCCGUAACUAUAACGGUCCUAAGGUAGCGAAAUUCCUUGUCGGGUAAGUUCCGACCUGCACGAAUGGUGUAAUGAUCCGGACACUGUCUCAACCGUGAUCCCAGUGAAAUUGUAGUAUCGGUGAAGAUGCCGAUUACCCGCGAUGGGACGAAAAGACCCCGUGAACCUUUACUAUAGCUUAACGUUGUACCCGGGCUGUCGAUGUGUAGGAUAGGCCGGAGGCGUCGAAUCGGGCACGCCAGUGUCCGUGGAGCCGUUGUUGAAAUACGGCCCUUUGGCCGUCUGGGUACUAACUUGGUGAAUCCAAGGACCGCGUUUGGCGGGUAGUUUGACUGGGGUGGUCGCCUCCAAAAGCGUAACGGAGGCUCCUCAAGGUGCCCUCAGGCCGAUUGGUAACCGGCCGCAGAGUGUAAUGGCAAAAGGGCGCUUGACUGGGAGGCCGACAGGCCGCACAGGCAGGAAACUGGAGCAUAGUGAUCCGGCGGUUCCGUAUGGAAGGUCCGUCGCUCAAAGGAUAAAAGGUACUCCGGGGAUAACAGGCUGAUCCCUCCCAAGAGCUCAUAUCGACGGAGUGGUUUGGCACCUCGAUGUCGGCUCGUCACAUCCUGGGGCUGGAGAAGGUCCCAAGGGUUGGGCUGUUCGCCCAUUAAAGUGGCACGCGAGCUGGGUUCAGAACGUCGUGAGACAGUUCGGUCUCUAUCUAUCGUGGGCGCAGGAAAUUUGCGUGGUUCUGACACUAGUACGAGAGGACCGUGUUGGACCGACCUCCGGUUUGCCGGUUGUGCCGCCAGGUGCACCGCCGGGUAUCCGCGUCGGGUAUGGAUAAGCGCUGAAAGCAUCUAAGCGCGAAGCCUUCCACAAGAUUAGAUUUCCUUUAUGAGGGUCGUCAGAGACGAUGACGUGGAUAGGGUGCAGGUGUAAAGACGGCGACGUCAAAGCCGAGCACUACUAAUAGCCCGAAAGCUUUUGUCUGG
rnacentral:rRNA from 1 species